UUCUGAUUCUUCAAGAAAAUGUUGAAUGUAUAUGUGAACAGACAACUGAAAUCGGUUCCUGGUGCCAUACAUUGAGGGACCUUGAGUUCCCUCGAGUGCCAUGCCUGAGGGCACAGCCACAGUGUGUUCCAUGGAAGCUGAGGCUUUGGAGAAGCUCUGAGUUCCACAAGAAGAGUGGGAAGGCCUGGAGGUGUUCAGUCUGGGAACGAGAAGAGUGGGAAAGUGAUUACAGCUGUUUUUAAGUCGAAAGAGGAAGGACAGAGUAAGGGCACUACUAGUUAUUUUUCAAGGAAAAGGGUUUCAUCCUUUGGGGAGGGGAAUGAUAGACCUCUUUGACAAAAUGAAUUAAAAAAAAAAAAAGCAGAGUUCCCAUUGUGGUUCAGCAGGUUAAGAAUCUGACAUAAUGUCCAUGAGGACGCAGGUUCAAUCCCUGGCCCUGCCCAGUGGGUUAAGGAUCCAGCGUUGCUGUGAGCUGUGGUGUAGGUUGCAGACUCAGCUUGGAAACCGCAUUGUUGUGGCUGUGGUGUAGGCCGGUGGCUACAGCUCCAAUUCCCUAGCCUGAGAACCUCCAUUUGCUGCAGGUGUGGCCAUAAAAAAAGAAAAAAAAAAGGAAAAUGCACUGACAUUCAUGUAAAUAACUCCUGUUUCAGACAGUAGGACUGAGAAUGAAUGGAAAUUUCCAGGAUUAGGUUUGAGUUAAGGAAGAAUUCUCCAAGAGUUUGGCAAGUCUUAGAGUGGAACCCAGUUUUUCUUAAGGGGAUUUACUCCCCAAUCCCUGGAACCUGCAUGGAUGGUCUGUGGGCUUUAGACUCACAGAGAAUAGGAUCGGCAUACAGGUGACACUGCUUCUAGCUGUGCUCCUCAGACAAUUUAUCUACCCUGCUAAAAAUCCCCUCACCCCGCUGGGAAUGGAGGUCAAACCUAUUACUGGGUGAUUGGGAUCAUUCAGUGACCAAGGGUAUGCAAAAUGCUUAUCCCAGUUCUAGAGUGGAUGAUGAGCAAAAAAAAAUGAACUUUUCUAAAUAAUUCUCAAAAAUUAUGGGUUGAAGAAAGAGCAGGAAAAAGCUGAAAUCUUGCCUAUGCAUAAGUUCUUCAUAAUUAUGUUCCUUUUUUUACUGUUAGGAAUAUUUGAGACAGCAUUCUAGCUUUGUGUGGGAAGUAACAAUAAAUGUCGAACUCUGAACAUGUACCAGAUUUAUAUUUCUUAAAACACUUGUAAAAUGAAUUGAAAGGUGAUAUUAUGGCAUCUUAGAGGUUUUGCUUUGGGGUUUUGUUUGUCGUGGCAUAUGGAAGUUUCCAGGCCAGGGAUUGAAUCCAAGUCGCAGCUGUGAUCUACGCCUCAGCAAUGCCGUGUCCUUUAACCCACUGUGCCACAGCAGGCACUCCUCUUAAAGUUUGUUGUGUGUGUGUUUUUUUUUUUUAAGCAUUCUAACCAAGGUGUGAAAGAACCUUGUAGAAAAUGAAAGGUACUUGAGAUGAUUCAAAGUGUUUUCAAUGAGGAGAAACUUAUCCUGAAUUUCUCUUUAAUCGAAGAGGAACUGAUGUUGCAUUUUAAAGUAGCAUUAAUAAUG
rnacentral:lncRNA from 1 species